GCGCCAACCGCCGGGUGUCGAUUUCUUCAGUUAACAGCAUGACAAGUGUUCAUUUCUUCAGAAGAUGUAGUCUGGUUGUUUCUGAAAAGGAGAUGUGUAAGUAAUUGGCAUGGCUCUGCCGGUCCGAAUAUUUUGUAUUACACUAAUUGUGGAUGACCGAAAUACUAACCAUCGCACGCACGGUGUGAAUGUGAAUGGUGUACUCAUCGAAGCAAUUUUAUUCUGAGCGGCAUCACAAGGCUGAUGAUGGGCUUCAGAUAGUACCACCUAGCUGCAGGCUACGCUUCUUCUAGCCUGGGCAGUGUUUCUGCUUCUUCUUCCUUGCAUGGCUUCAGAUAAUCCGUGGACUGGUUGCAAGUCAAUCCAUCACCCUCCUUGGCAGUCGAUCGAUUCUGAAAUGUUUUCAAGUCGGUUAACCGGAUAAGAAGAUGGAGCUGGUUUGCAGAGUUGAAGUUCGAUGGGGUCUUAUUACCUUGCAGGAAUGAAUGUUCCUUCCACGCAAGCAAGAUCAUUGUGAGCCUGUAGGGUUAAAGGUAGUAUCAUAUCAUUGUGAGCUUCAUAUUUUCUGUACCAUCGUAUCUCUACUUUUUUUUCCCAAAACAGUAGCUAAUCGUGAUCAUCUGAACUGAUGAUGAAGAACAAUUUGAAGUUUGAACAGCCGAAGAGACAUACCUGAUUCAGGAAUACAACUUUGGCCCUUUUCCCUGAUUCAGGCUAUUUACUGGUUCAAUCCAUACUGCAGAAACAUAAAAAUUAGUUAUUUGGUUGUAACCGACAUAAGCUAUCUCCCCAGCAGGGCAGCACACUCUAUUAUUUCGUUAGUAACAAGGUCUUGUAAACUUACCGUAAUAAUUCUUACAUGGAAACCGACAUAAGUUAGUGUGGCCCAUGACUGCAACCUGAGUUUCUUCAGGACAUUCCUCUCAACAAUUUCAGCACCGUGGAGAGCCAUGACACCGGCAACAUUAUUGGAGGCAUGCAGCUUGGAGAUCCUUGAGUAAUUGAGGCUAGCUAUCAACANN
rnacentral:lncRNA from 1 species